CCUAAUCUGUUGCUGCCACGCCCACGCCCCACGACCUAGACAGAACCAUCCCUUGAUGUUCGUGAUUUCUUCCUCUGGUUGCAAACCCUCCCGCCGUCUCACGUAGCACCACCGACGAACACCUCCCAGCGCCUCCUCCACCUAACGGAACAGAGCGCCGCCGGGCUCGCGCGAUGUCCGGCUGAUUCAAGGGCACGCCACGACCACCGAACUCCGGCGCGGCGUUCGACCUCGUGCGGCCUGACGGAUGACAUGGCUGUUCUGUUCCAACGUUGUUGGACCGUCUGAUUCAUCCUUUCAUCUCCCUUUAGCAGCCGCCGACCUCGCGUACGCUGACACCGCGCGGCCGCUCUCCAGCUGCGACCCGAGGCCACGGCGACGUCUGAUGACGAUGAUGGAUCCGAAGAGAGGGUCGAUGUCGGAUGCAUGUGGGAUGCAUGUGGUUGUGUGUGAUCCAUGUCGGAGAGGGUCGGGUGCCACGGCUGGCCAGCAAAUCUGCCUUCUCGAUGUCAUCCAGGGGGAAACGGAUGUGGUCGGCUGACCUACGGGAUGGCGGCGGUGAUGUCACUGUUGACGAAGUGGAUUCACGGCCGUGCUGCAGGUGCUGAGCGCGCCGCAUCGGAGCGUGGCCGGGCAUGACAUCGACGGGGCGUAUACCCUCCCCAACGCGUGUGCGGCACCCAUGGACCUCUCGCAUCGUCAUGGACAGGGUAUGUAUCUUCAUUAUUGAAUCUCCUAUGAAAUUUCUGGUGAAUCAUUGGGGCUCUUGGUCACGUCGGGAAGCAGCUGCAAUUGUGUCUGUCGGAUAUCACUGCCUGCAAGGUAAGGCGAGGCAUGUUCCAAUGGUUGGCUAUGACACUUGCGAGUUUGGUUAACAAUUUCUCUGUUCAAUGAUGUGCUAGCUCUUGCUGCUCAGGUUUGUACUUUUACAAGAACUGUUCAUAUGUGUAUUUGAAGUAUACAUGUAAUAUAGUGCAGGCCCUACUAGCAAGUGAAUAUGCGAAAGAGAACCACCAGCAAGCCUGCAUGGUUUGGUACAAUGUUCUGCAGGUUACGACAUUAUUCUCAAUCGUUAGUGAUGACAUUAAUCCUCUUCGUUACCUCUAAACGAUUGGAGGUGACUGGUCUUUACAAGUUUUGUGUGCCAGCAAGGCAUGUGUUGAUGGGAUAAUAGCACAAUAAGAGUUCCUACAGAAUCAGGAAAGAUCUGAUAGGCAAAUUGUCUGGUGUGGCUGCUAGGGUGAUAAGGUCACUGAUUUGUGAACAUAUAUGGUUUCAAAAUCUUAGACAAGGGUAUUUAUUCAUGAUACACUUCGAGUGGGUGUUGGGUGCUGCCUUUGUUGAUAAGCACAGUGGCAUGGUCGUGGCUACCGAGGAUGAUCUAUUAGGCGGCAAGUUUGAUGGUGCUCCAGACUUGCACGCACGGUGUUCGAAGGAGUGGCCGCCUUGGAUGUAGUUUUGUACAAGGAACAAGGUGCCACUGUGAAAGGUACGGGAGAUGCCCACGUAAGCUGCCUAGCAUUGACAACAAGGCUCAUCUACCACAGCACCCUGGACAUGCAUCAUUAGCAACUGCUGCAUUCGACAAAUGCAAUUCUGCGGUGCCUACCAUGCAGCCAUAUUGUUAGCAUCCAUCCCUCUAGAUCAGUACAUAUGCUUCCAGAUUGUCCAAGAAACAUUUAAGUUAAUCAAGAAAAUAAAGUGCAUUACCAAGAAUCUCCCAACUUUGAUACACGUGAAGUUCUGGGAUCUUUGGCCAAACUGAUAUUGCAGGUUCUGCCCUCUAUCAUUGGUACUUCCACGGUUAUGGAUAGCUACUAGCCAGAUCUGAGAGCUAUGAGCUAUUUCACCCCUCUUGUCUGGCGGAUAGACGAUGGAAGCGCCAACAUUGCUUGACUAUGGCUCACAAAUCACAAUGCACGCCUCUGGCCCUCUAUAUAAAAUCUUCCAAGCCGUUCCGGCAAUAUGUGAGACAAUAUUGAAGUGGUUUAGCUUGCUGGCAACAUGGCCGACGGACUAGGGCAUGAGGAGUUGUCUGAUGAGGGAAAGCAUUGAACUGUCGUUGGACGGCAGAUCAUGGGUUGCAGUAAUAGGCGAGAUACACCGAGCAAUGAAAGGACACGAGGGGUUUUCAGUAGGCCUACUUAGCUUUUAUCUACAUCUCAAACGAAAUGGAAUCUUUAUGUUUCCAAAUAUAUUAAUUUGUACGGUUAAUUUUAAAAAUUAUACUAUGCAGUAAUGUUUAUAUGAGCGUGGACUAAGUAACUGUAGUGACCGUUGCAAUGCACCAGGUACCUCUAAAUUCUUCUUCAAAAGGUGCAUGCCUCAGCCUGUGUAUUCCAUCUCGAGAUCAUUUCUGGACGAAUGACUCUUUACAGGAGGUUUACUUGCAAACUGAAGACAUCGUCGACCUUGUUGUGAGCGCCGGACGCUGUGUUGCGGUUGUCACCAUAUCAACCACCGAGGGUCUGCUCAUUGUGAUGAAGUGCGUGAGCCUCUCAAGUUUGGUACUGAAGGUGCCGAACUUGCACAUGCAGAGUAGGGAAGUGCCUGGUGUGCUCUCCCCAUUUUUGAUUUUCAGACUAGCAUGAUAGGGAAUUGAGAAGGUGGUCUGGUUUUGUGAAUGCAAAUUGGGGUGUGGAGGCGAUGGAUCUGGUUUAGGUACUGAACAUGUGGAAAGCGAGGAAGGAAAGAUAAUUACUAAGCUUGAUGCUGUAGUGCCCGAACUUGAUGUACCAGCGGGCGUGGAGGAAAAUGACCACAAGAGAAAAAGGGGAGCAAGUAAUUUGACCAUGGAGAAGAAGAUGAGACGUGAAGUAAGAAGGCAAGAAAGAGAAAGGAAGGAGGGGCCAGACUGGCAAGGUGAUGAGCUUGGCGCCGAUGAUGGCACACAUGCUGAAGUCAACGACAGUGACCUGCAGCAGUGGAAAUAACAUAUGAGAGACAUCCGAUGGAAGAUGCGGUGAGAGCUAAGGGACAUGAUCAUAGCAUCAGACUACUACAAAGCGGGUGCAGUUGGGAACUAUGGAGCUGAACGUGUGCAGGCACAUGAGAGCAUGACUGUCUCACUAGAGGCACAGGAGAACCUAGCUGCUGAAGAUUGUCUUUGAUGACUACGUACAAAUUUGGCUCUCGCAAGAUCUGUUCUUAUUGCAUUUUUUAUUGUAUUAUUAGCAGGUAUAGUUCUGAGUUCAUCAAUUUUAGUCGCUAUUACAUGCUCAUUGUUCAGAUUGUGCCUGUUUUCCUACUCUUGGGAGAAGUUAAAAUGAGAUACUAUUCUUGACAAGUAAAAUAUGUAUAUAUUACCAUUGUGCCCCCAAUAUCCAUGCCGAGCAUCUCUUUUCAUUAUCGUGUGAACUAUAGGGUGCUUAUAGAGAAGAAGUACCCGCUGCUAGAUAACUGAACUUAUAUGGUCAUUUAAGUUUGUUAGUUUAUGAGUUAGAGGCUGCUUUUUCUGCAACAGGAUUGAAGUGAGUUAUGCUUGUACUAACUACAUAAGGAAGAGAGAUGAACCUAGAAUGUACCUCAGUCAAUUUUUAUGUAUAGCUGGAACACAAAAUUUUGCUAUUUAAAAAUAGCCUGCAGUUAAAUUGUGAUGACUACAUGUCUUAAGUACAUAAAAAUCACAACAAUUCUUGGUUAUGUUAAGAUUAUCUCUUUUACUAUUAACAACAUCAUUUGUCACCACAAGUUGUUUGUCGGUACGGAGCCUCAGAUUAUCACCAGUGCUUGUGCUGCCAUCCCGAAUGGGGUGUGAUUAUCAAUAUUUCUAGGUGUACUUUAUAAAUUAUUGUUAUUAGUGUUUAAGUCUAGCUAAUUGUCUACUGGAUCACAUGUUUGGAGGAGACCCAUGAAGAGAAAAGAUGAACAACAAAAAGGAGCAUGGUAGGCGAAUCAAGAUCACACUGUCGUCAAGCAUAUUUGUCAUGUCUCGUAAUAACAUGCAAGUAUUUAGUUGAUCUGAUAAACGGAUCAUGAAAUGAGGGAGCUACCAUUGAUGUAUCUAAGGGUAUUGUGCCGACUCCAAGGAAUAAUAGAAGCAAUCUCCGUGAAUGAUAGAUAAUUGUUGGGUUGUUGCUUUCGUGCAUAUCGAAUUAUGUAUUCUUACCAAAAAAUACAUUUUAAGAAAAUAUGAAUCUAUGUGUUUUUGGAUAUUGUGCAAUUAUUCUUUCUAUACACAUGAAUUUUAAUGUGUAUUACAAUUACAGU